UGGGGAAUAUUGGACAAUGGGCGCAAGCCUGAUCCAGCCAUGCCGCGUGGGUGAGGAAGGCCUUCGGGUUGUAAAACCCUUUCACCGGUGACGAUGAUGACGGUAGCCGGAGAAGAAGCACCGGCUAACUCCGUGCCAGCAGCCGCGGUAAGACGGAGGGUGCUAGCGUUGUUCGGAAUCACUGGGCGUAAAGGGCGCGUAGGCGGCUUGGACAGUCAGAUGUGAAAGCCCGGGGCUCAACCCCGGAACGGCAUUUGAUACUGCCAGGCUGGAGGUCGGAAGAGGAGGGUGGAAUAUCCAGUGUAGAGGUGAAAUUCGUAGAUAUUGGAUGGAACACCGGUGGCGAAAGCGGCUCUCUGGUCCGAACCUGACGCUGAGGCGCGAAAGCGUGGGGAGCAAACAGGAUUAGAUACCCCCGUAGUCC
rnacentral:rRNA from 1 species